rnacentral:rRNA from 1 species
UACGGAGGGUGCAAGCGUUAAUCGGAAUUACUGGGCGUAAAGCGUGCGUAGUCGGUUAUCUAAGUCGGGUGUGAAAUCCCCGGGCUCAACCUGGGAAUUGCAUUCGAUACUGGAUAGCUAGAGUUCGGCAGAGGGAAGCGGAAUUUCGGGUGUAGCGGUGAAAUGCGUAGAUAUCAAGUGGAACACCAGUGGCGAAGGCGAGUCUCUGGACAUUUCCUGACGCUGAGGCACGAAAGCCAGGGGAGCAAACGGG